AUGGGAGGGGGGGGUAGACAUGCCGAUCACCCUAAACCUCAGGAGGUAAAAUUGCAGUUCAGUUUUUUAGUUAUAUCUUAUCUCAAAAUAUCAUAUUAUAAUUUAUAAACUUAUUACUAAUUGUUUAAUAUUUUUUUUUAUUAAAUGUAACCUAGUAAUUAUACAUUUUAUAUAUACAGCUUAACAGUGCCCCUUACGAGUCUUCGAAUUCAUAGGCACGGACCUAGGUAAAAGAAAAUUUAGGUUACCUCUGGUUUUUUUUUCUAGCUCUGCCACUGCUUUCUUGUAUUAGGCUAUCACACUCCUCAAAUUGAAGAGUCCCGUUGCCCCACUCCGGUCAGACUAUGUUAUCUUCACUCGGCCCACGUUCGCUUUAGAGUUUGGCUUGGAUGUUCCCCCGGGAAACUAUACCGCCAACAGCCACUUGAUGACCAUUGUGUCACCACAAGAGCAGAACAUUCUCUAGCGUAACACACGGUGAGACGAAAACCCUGGUGGGCUCAGGAUAGAACCUGACACCUCUGCAAGAAGGCUAUGCUCUAUCUAUCAAUGUCUAAUGCAACAAAAUAACACAAGUGAGGAUUAAAUUUGAGUAUCUUUCAAUUUAUGAUUAAAGUGUUUCCAAAUGUUAGAAUGAUUGGUUGCCUAGUCAGAUGGUGUAGAUUAUUGUGCGAUACUUUCUCUUGUUACCAAACUUGGUUACUUAUUUCCUUAGUUGCAAUAUACAAUUAGGCACUUCAUUAGCUUCAUGUCAAGAAUGCCUUUGCAUAUAAGUAAUUUAAAUAAAGAUGCAUAUAUGAAAGAACCAGCUGCCCAAGGGUAGUUUGGGAAAGUAUGCACAUGCAAGACCUUUAAUGAUUUAAAACAUUCUUUGCAAGCUUGGUUUUGGAAACUAAUACUUGUUGGGUAUUUUUAGACGGUAUAUGAGUUACUUUUUUUUAAUAACCAAAUGACAAAAUUUAUUGGCAAAGGCGGGGCCAACUAGACAUUGGAAGUCCCAAAAAACGACAAGUCGACAACAACAUUACAAUUUUAAAUAUCUAUUACUAAAAUCCCACCACCAAACCCAAACAAGGUCCCCAAACUUAGACUUGUUUUUUAUCCACACAAAAGAGUCCUUAAUUCCUUCAACAAUCUUCGGAACCACCCCCCACUUAUCUUCAAAAAUCUUAUUCUUUUUUGAACGGCCAACAAAACACCUUUUUUUAUAUUUAGCUAGCAGCUAACACCAAAUAUACAUACACCAAACAGACGCUUACAACCAACUAUGGACCAAACCCGAAUC
rnacentral:lncRNA from 1 species